AUUGAACGCUGGCGGCAGGCCUAACACAUGCAAGUCGAACGGUAGCACAGAGAGCUUGCUCUCGGGUGACGAGUGGCGGACGGGUGAGUAACGUCUGGGAAACUGCCCGAUGGAGGGGGAUAACUACUGGAAACGGUAGCUAAUACCGCAUAACGUCGCAAGACCAAAGUGGGGGACCUUCGGGCCUCACACCAUCGGAUGUGCCCAGAUAGGAUUAGCUAGUAGGUGGGGUAAUGGCUCACCUAGGCGACGAUCCCUAGCUGGUCUGAGAGGAUUACCAGCCACACUGGAACUGAGACACAGUCCAGACUCCUACGGGAGGCAGCAGUGGGGAAUAUUGCACAAUGGGCGCAAGCCUGAUGCAGCCAUGCCGCGUGUAUGAAGAAGGCCUUCGGGUUGUAAAGUACUUUCAGCGGGGAGGAAGGCGGUGAAGUUAAUAGCUUCACCGAUUGACGUUACCCGCAGAAGAAGCACCGGCUAACUCCGUGCCAGCAGCCGCCGUAA
rnacentral:rRNA from 1 species